AGGUAGACGAAGCGACCUGGAAAGGUCCGUCGUAGAGGGUAACAACCCCGUAGUCGAAACUUCGUUCUCUCUUGAAUGUAUCCUGAGUACGGCGGAACACGUGAAAUUCCGUCGGAAUCUGGGAGGACCAUCUCCCAAGGCUAAAUACUCCCUAGUGAUCGAUAGUGAACCAGUACCGUGAGGGAAAGGUGAAAAGCACCCCGGAAGGGGAGUGAAAGAGAUCCUGAAACCGUGUGCCUACAAAUAGUCAGAGCCCGUUAAUGGGUGAUGGCGUGCCUUUUGUAGAAUGAACCGGCGAGUUACGAUCCCGUGCGAGGUUAAGUUGAAGAGACGGAGCCGCAGCGAAAGCGAGUCUGAAUAGGGCGUUUAGUACGUGGUCGUAGACCCGAAACCAGGUGAUCUACCCAUGUCCAGGGUGAAGUUCAGGUAACACUGAAUGGAGGCCCGAACCCACGCACGUUGAAAAGUGCGGGGAUGAGGUGUGGGUAGCGGAGAAAUUCCAAUCGAACCUGGAGAUAGCUGGUUCUCCCCGAAAUAGCUUUAGGGCUAGCCUUAAGUGUAAGAGUCUUGGAGGUAGAGCACUGAUUGAACUAGGGGUCCUCAUCGGAUUACCGAAUUCAGUCAAACUCCGAAUGCCAAUGACUUAUCCUUAGGAGUCAGACUGCGAGUGAUAAGAUCCGUAGUCAAGAGGGAAACAGCCCAGAUCGCCAGCUAAGGUCCCAAAGUGUGUAUUAAGUGGAAAAGGAUGUGGAGUUGCUUAGACAACUAGGAUGUUGGCUUAGAAGCAGCCACCAUUUAAAGAGUGCGUAAUAGCUCACUAGUCGAGUGACUCUGCGCCGAAAAUGUACCGGGGCUAAAUACACCACCGAAGCUGCGAAUUGAUACCAAUGGUAUCAGUGGUAGGGGAGCGUUCUAAGUGCAGUGAAGUCAGACCGGAAGGACUGGUGGAGCGCUUAGAAGUGAGAAUGCCGGUAUGAGUAGCGAAAGACGGGUGAGAAUCCCGUCCACCGAAUGCCUAAGGUUUCCUGAGGAAGGCUCGUCCGCUCAGGGUUAGUCAGGACCUAAGCCGAGGCCGACAGGCGUAGGCGAUGGACAACAGGUUGAUAUUCCUGUACCACCUCUUUAUCGUUUGAGCAAUGGAGGGACGCAGAAGGAUAGAAGAAGCGUGCGAUUGGUUGUGCACGUCCAAGCAGUUAGGCUGAUAAGUAGGCAAAUCCGCUUAUCGUAAAGGCUGAGCUGUGAUGGGGAAGCUCCUUAUGGAGCGAAGUCUUUGAUUCCCCGCUGCCAAGAAAAGCUUCUAGCGAGAUAAAAGGUGCCUGUACCGCAAACCGACACAGGUAGGCGAGGAGAGAAUCCUAAGGUGUGCGAGAGAACUCUGGUUAAGGAACUCGGCAAAAUGACCCCGUAACUUCGGGAGAAGGGGUGCUUU
rnacentral:rRNA from 1 species